UUUUCUGAGCUCAGUGGUAGAGCACUUGCCUAGCAUGUGUGAGGCACUGGGUUCAAUCCUCAGCACCACAUAAAAA
rnacentral:tRNA from 1 species